ensembl:lncRNA
CUGCAAUUAAGGGUUACGGGUCGGAGAGGCGGAAGGAUCGGGAAAUGAUGUCCAGCUCUUAUUGUUCGGCCCGGCCGGCGCUGGAGAUCCCCCGACCGAAGCAUCACCAUCAAACAAGCGGGUGACAACAGACGACCACGACGUCAUGUAAACAGACCAGUAGAAAACAGCUGAAGGACUGAUGGACAGAGUGGAGGGGAGUCCUCCCUCUCUCGGAGAUCCGGACCACUGUUAACCAAUAGAAAGGACGUGCUGAGGACCGACCGAUCACAGCCUGAAGGUUAGGUUACCGGGAGGCCAGAAGGAUUGUGAUGUGUCGCAAGGCCAGAAGGCCCUCAGAUGAAGGCCUCAACAUUGUGGCCCCCGGUGUGAUACACUCUCUGAUACUGUGAUAUACAAACACACAACAUGGCCGCCUUUGAGGACGGCUAGACAACAAGAUGGACGCCAUCCGGUUACUCUCGGUCAUGGCAGUCAUCGGAAAACAUGUGAAAAUAUGUUUUUAAGAUUCUAUGAUAGCAUAGAUUAGAGAAUAUAGAGGGU